CUUAAGCCGGAGAAGUGGGGAUGAUGUCAAGUCAGCAUGGCCUUUAUAAUCCUGGGCGUACACACACGCUACAAUGGCCAACACAAUAGGUUGCUAAGCCGCGAGGUGGCGCCAAUCCAUAAAGUUGGUCUCAGUUCAGAUUGUAGGCUGCAACCCGCCUGCAUGAAGAUGGAGUUGCUAGUAACCGCAGGUCAGCUAUACUGCGGUGAAUACGUUCCCGGGCUU
rnacentral:rRNA from 1 species